rnacentral:lncRNA from 1 species
CACACGACAUGCUGCUGCUGGCCCUAGGGUGCUGUGGUGCCUCAGGGGGACAGAUGAGCACAAGGCAGAUGGUGUUUUCCUCUGGUCUGUUGUGUUGUGGUCCACAGAAAACCUAAUUCAGUGAUCUCCAUGAAAGGUGCAGGGAGAUCGAUGAUGCUCUGUGCUCAGUGCCAAUAUGCAGGUCAUAUUGUAGUUUACAACUUCACUAGAGGGCUAGAAGUUGCAGCACCCAAGGAAGUGAGCAUACAUUCUGGCCAGUGCCUCUAUAAGCUUUUCAACACACACACACACACACACACACACACACACACACACACAAUCAUAUUGCUUUUUAGGUGCAAACAUGCCUCCUUCAUUGGAAACUUUUCUGAGAAACAAGUUCCAUAUAAAUGUGGUCAUGGCAUUUCUUAAGAACAUGUUCACAGUUUGACCAAAGUGAGUGGAAAACUUACAUCAAAAUCAUUUCCAAGUUAUCAAUGUUACAAGCCAUGCUACAAUUAACAUCACUGAAAAUGCCUCUAACUUACUGUUUUUUAUUUUCUUUUCUUUUGCUUGCUUUGGGUUUAAUUUUCUCUAUUUCUGCUUUCUUAAAUAGGUAGCAUAGAUCACUGACUUGAAGUGUUUCUUUUCUUCCUAAUAAAAGCAUUUAAUAGAGUUAUAAAUUUCCAUCUCAAUACUGUAAUAGCUGCAUCCCACAAAUCUUAAUUUGUUUUGUUUCCAUUUUCAUUCAGUUCAAAAUAUUUUCUAAUUUCCCAUGGGACUUUCUCUUUGGCUAAUACUGAUGCUUUCCAAGUAUUUGGGGUUUUCCAGGUACCUUUCUGCUGCUGAAUUCUAGUUUAAUUCCC